AAACAUGUCUUUUUGAAUUGUAUAUAAAGUCUAACCUGCCCACUGAAUAAUUUUAAAUGGCCGCAGUAUUUUGACUGUGCAAAGGUAGCAUAAUCAUUAGUCUUUUAAUUGAAGGCUGGUAUGAACGGUUGGACGAGGUAUAAACUGUUUCAUAUAAAUUUAUAAUAGAAUUUUAUAUUUUAGUUAAAAAGCUAAAAUUUUAUUAAAAGACGAGAAGACCCUAUAAAUCUUUAUAAUUAAUUUUAACUAAAUUUUUUUGAUUGAUUUUAUUUUUUUGACAUUAAUUAUUUUGUUGGGGUGAUGUUAAAAUUUAAUUAACUUUUAAUUUUUUAGAAUCAUUAAUUUAUGAUUUGUUGAUCCACUCAUAGUGAUUAUAAGAUUAAGUUACUUUAGGGAUAACAGCGUAAUUUUUUUUGAGAGUUCAUAUCGACAAUAAAGUUUGCGACCUCGAUGUUGGAUUAAGGUAUAAUUUUGGGUGUAGUUGUUCAAAAAUUAAGUCUGUUCGACUUUUGAAUCCUUACAUGAUC
rnacentral:rRNA from 1 species